AUAUAAGUAGGGCUACAUUUAUUUUAACCAAAUAUAACACAAUUGAAAGGUCAGAAGUCCCAUUUGGUAUGUGCAAACCUCUGGAAGGGUUGGGCUAAAAGAAGUGCUGCAGACUGCUGGCCUUCUUGAUGAUUUCAAGUUUAUGUUACUCACAGUAGGCACUAGAAGCUGAUUCCUUAAUCUUACACCAGAAGCAACUGGGGAGGUUGCAGGUAGCUCUCUAUCUCACACUCUCCUCCAGGGGAAUCAGGUGGGCAAGGCAUUCAUCUCAUAGAGUGAGCAGUUUCGCCCGAGGCCCCUAGACGACAAUAAGAAAAAUUAUCCUACAGAAGUCAAAAGAUUUAUAUGAUGUUUCCAACCCAGAUGGAAUAAGAAAUGUUCAACUGUUCCAAAAAGGAGCCUAUUCUCAGCCUGAUAACUGUUUGCUAGCAAAACCGAGAUAUUUUAUUGCCUUGCAAUCCACCUGGCUGUGCUGUUGGCCAAGAAGCCUCAACUCUUCUGCUUCCCCAGUAACCAAGAGAAGUGACUAAUCCAUUUAAAAUCUCCUGUGAAUCAACGCAAUCACAACACAAUGACAGCUAAUAUAGCCUACACCACACUCCUUUUUAACAGCGAAAGAAACUGAUGUUGGUAACAAACUAAGCAGAGCUUGGUAAAUUAUUUUUAAAAGUAAAUACUUUACAGUUAUUGCUGUAUGCUUAACAAACCUAGGAUGUAUCUACACUGUAGAAUUAAUGCAGUUUUGAGACCACUUUAACUGCCAUGACUCAAUGCCAUGGAAUCUAAGAGUUGUAGUCUUUUAAGGUCUUCAGUCUUCUCUUUCAAAAAGUGAUGGUGCCUCACCAAACUAAAAAUUCCAUGAUUCAUA